UGCUGGUGACCCCAACUAUAGAAUUACUUUCGUUGCUACUUCAUAACUGUAAUUUUGCUACCGUUAUGAAUGAUGAUGUCAGUGUCUGGUAUGCAGGCUAUCUGAUAUGUGGCCCCAGUUUGAAAACUGCUGGUGUAUAUGAAGGAGCUCAGCCAAGAACACAGCAAUUAUUUUAAAACUACAGGUCAGGCCAGAUUCAGUGGCCCAAACCUGUAAGGAGGCUGAGGUAGGAGGAUUGCUGCAAGUUCAAGGCCAGCCUGCGAUUCAGAGGGAGUCCCUGACUCAAAAAACAAACAAACAAAAAUAGAUAAGUUAAUUAAUAAAUAACCCAAGACAGGAACCCAGACAGACCGUCCUGGAUGUGGAACAGACAAACUGGGCCGGGCGUAGCCAGAAAGCUGCAUUAUUUACUGCCUUGGCUAUAAAAUAUUUACAUGGCUUCCUGAUGGUGUUUGCUUUCCAGGUAAACUGUGAGCCCUGCAGCUCACCCAUGGGAGGAGACUCAGGGCACUGAGACGGAGAUGGCUCUUAACUCUAUGUUCUUCUAGAAGGCCUGAGGUUCCCACCCAAUGAACUCUGGGGGAAACUGUGACUCUAGAGGACAAGGGGAAGCCCAGACAAAGGUCAGGCUAUAGGGAGGGACCUGUUUUAGAGCAAGAUAGAAUGGUGCCCCAGUACCCCGGGAAUGUGGCCCUAGACAGCUGAACUCCUCUUGUCCUGGUUUUGUUAUGGUAGAAUGGGACUAACAAUAGCAUGGUAGUUUCUUUGUUUUGUUGUCUGAGUAUGUGUGUGUGUGUGUGUGUGUGUGUGUGUAAGAGACAGAGACAGACAGAGGGGAGAGGGAGAGAGAGGUCAGAGGUCAAUGCUGAAUGUCUUCCUCAGUUGCUCUCCACUCUAGUUUUUGAGACAGGAUACCUCACUGAAUCUGAAGCUCACCUCUUGGCUCUGCUGACUGGCCGAUGAGCUCCCAGGACCCACCAAACUCUCCUGUUCUCCAACAUUGGCACUCCAAUUGCACCCAGCUUUCCUAAGGAUGCUGUGAAUUCAAACUCGAGUUCUUAGCUCAUACAGCGAGCACUUUACCAACUGAGCAUCGCUCCCCAGCCCCACAAUCCGUUUCUUGAGACAAGGUCACACUAAGUUGCCUGGCUUAUCGUUGAACUCAUUCUAUAGGCCAGGGAGGCCUUCGACUUGCAAUCCACUCGUGAGAGGGAGAUUGGGUAGUGUUCAAGAAGGCCAGCAGGCCAGGCCCUCAGACAGCCCCAAGCUCUUGUAAUAUACCUGUAGCCUUCACCCAAGGGACUCUGGGGAAAGCCAGGAAUCUAAGGGUACAAGGGGAAGCACGGGCUAGGAGAUGCCUCUUAGCUCUCUGAGAGGAGAGAGAUUCUCAAUCAAGGCAAGAGUCCUGCACAGCUGAAAUUGAUGGCUCCAGAAAGUGGGGUCUUAUGGAGAUGGGGCGGGGAGUGAACCCAAGACUUGCGGGUUCCAGCAUGGGUCAGCAGGAUGGAAAAGAUGUCAAGAGGGCAGGAACGAUGAGGUCUGCAGAUUCUUGAGAGUAGCUUCCCAUUUGAACGGAGACAAGCCUCAGCCCACACACCCAGGGACUUUCCCCAGGGCAUCUUGGACCGCCUCACUCCACUGAGAACACUAAGGCCAGUGACAUGAGGGAUCGAAAGGCCACACAGUAUUGGAAAUCAGAGGUGCCCAGCCUCUACACCCAGCGGCCAGCAGAGGAGAAGCCGUUCCUCGAUGAUCCAUUCUCAGAAUCAGAGUCAGAUGCAGGAAACCCGUUGUUGAAGCAGAAGAGCGAAGGAGCUCUGGGAAGCAGAAAGGAGACCAGAGAGGAAACCACCAUGCUAAAGGGAACAAAGCAGGCGGGGGCCCUGUGCACAGUUCCCCAUGAGGUCUGCGUCGGCACCUUAGGGGAUUUUCUUGCCACGCUUCUCAACAGCAUUUUUUGGGGGAACUUCCUGCAUGGAAGGCUCAACUCACUCCUUCAUCUGUAGCUUUCAGGUGCCACUGGCUGGAACCCCCUCUGCUUCUCCUGCAGGGUUGCUGGAGACACUAGGGCCUUGUGGACUGCCCCUCUGCCCUGUCAUACCCAAGGAGACAGCAGAGCCUGCUGAACCCUAGCACCAGGAACUCAAGGAUAUGACUUACGACCAUGGCCCUUUGAGCAACACCCUAGGUCUCACGGUAUAGCCCAGACUGGUCUCGCGACCUUGCCACUCUUCUGCCUCAUCCUCCCAAAUGCUGGGAGCAACAUGUCCAUUCCACUCAGUCUUGAGGCCAAUUUCCAGCCAUCCCAUCCAAAGGACGCACGGAUCUUCACUAAGAGUCUAGAGUGUGCCAGGCAUCCCAUUAUUAUCUUAGUUUUACAUAACUCCAAUUCUGUAAGGUGAAUACUAUUAUAUAUCUCCAUUUUACAGAUGUGAAAACUGAGGCCAUACAGAGUCAAGUUAGACUAAGAUGGAGCUCAACAAUUUUACAUAUCUCCUCUCUGCUCUAAGGCAUGGACAUGGAGAGCUCUUUGGUACUCACCAUGUCAACAUUUGGGAUUCAAGUGUUUGAGAAUGACCUCAAAGAUCAGGCAUUUUCUGUUUUAGCAUCAUGGCAGUAGAAUUUGAGUCCCGCCUAAGUCAAGUCUGGUGCUGGGAGAGAGUCCCACACUUCGAAGCUGGACUGAAGAGAACCAGGCUCUUGAGCAGCAGCCCAUCGGGAAGGCAUAGGGACAAUCAAGGUGUGGAGUCAGGUCACUUGACCCCUUUCUACAGUCUCGUAAACUUAAGCUAACUGCUUUCCCUCUCGAGUGGUAAGAGGAGGCACACCUGUACCUGUCAGGCCUUGCAGGACUCUGGUGAGGACUGUGCUUGGCCCGUAAAAAGUCUGGAUUCUGCUGGAGCCCAGGUACAGGAGAACAAGGACAAUGACUGGGGCCCGUAAAGAUUGACAUGUGAUUCAAAACUUCUUGGCAGGUCCUGAAGCCCAAGCUGAUGGGAGGACAAAAACGGUGAGCCCAAGGGGCUAGGGUGGCCACGAGUACCUUGUCAGGAGGACACGAAGGUCAGACCAGAGUGACCGCUGGAUGGGCUCGGGGCUCUGGCCUGAGGGGAAUGGCAGCUCUGUGUCUUCCUACGAGUGUGACCAGGCACAGAUGACUAUUUCCUAAUAAGAAUGUAAUCACCUCUCAGAGCACUGGUUGUGCACCUGACACAAGCUUACCAAAUGCCAGGGAUUAUGAUUAUUUAAUAAUUGUGGUCUCUAUGGUAUGCAUAUGGGCUGGCCCAGAGAUGGAUCCAGAACCGAGGGUGGUUCCUGGCUCCCAGCAAGCUCAUAAAGCUUAUCCCCCCAGUUUUUUUUUUUUCCUGUGGUAGAAUCCCCCUGGUACCUACAAGGAAGAGAACUCCUCCAUCACUAAAUAGAGUUGGGGUGUGGCUUGGCCCUUUGAACUGGCUUCUCUUCCUCCAUUAGGUCAACUGGGAUAUGGGUCAGGACACCAGUUGUGAGGCUUUGGCGCCUUCUACCGUGUCUCAACUCCAUUGCCAGUCUGCAGAGCUCGCUGACACCCUCAGCUGAAGCAGGCCCCAGAUCACAUCAACAGCCUUCUUGACUUUAAAGCCCUUAUCUGGACCUGUAAUUAUCUUAUUGACUUGGUGAUAAUUAUUGGUUUACCGUCUAACUUCCAGCACCUGCUUGAUUCAGGGCCCUUGCAUGUAUCUUCCCGCAGUCUGUUUGGUGCUUGGCACUUCAGGGACACUAACAAAUGCUUUUUGAAUAAACACACAGGCGAAGUUUCACAUUGAAGAGAGGUACAAGAACAGCAGAUUGGAACGCAGACAGCCUGGGUUCCAGACACGGCUCUGCCUUCAAUAGCUGUGGGACCUGUGGCCUCAAUCUCUCCAUUGAUAUCCUUAGGUCUUUCAGGUUUCAAGACCGUUUAGGUCCCAAUAGUUUGUGUCUCUAAGGGACCCCUGCCAGGCUAUAACUCUAAGAAACCUUGUUGGCCACUGUGAAGCAGGAAGUUGCCAUGACAAAUACAAGCAUAUUUAUUUUGAAAUAUUUUCUCGGAAUGUCUGUGACUAAGCCUAGAGAAUUCUCCUUUCCCUUGGGGGCAGCCUCUGAGAGCAUAUGACUUGGGAUACGCAUGCGCACACGCGCACACACAUACAGAGAGAGGGGGAGUGUACAAUAUUCAUCUUCAUACUCACAAGCUCACACACACUCGUGUAGUCCUUACACAUGGGUUUGCACAUGCCCAUAUGUGUAUACCACACAAUUCAAGUGAACACUCGCACAAAUGUACUCAUACAUUUCCCCCAUACACAGAGCUCAUUUAUACAUCCUCAUACAUGUUCACACACUCAAGAGCACAGAAAUACAAUCAUCCUCAUACAUGUUCACAUACUCAAGAGCACAGAAAUACAAUCACACAUAUUUUCACUCCUUUGUACCAUUAUGUUGGUAGCUGCCACCACCCCACAUUGUCACACCAACUCAGAAGCACACACAUAAACUCACCCUGAACUCACAUGCUAUACUGUAUGCACACACUCAUGUGUAUCCUGACACACA